UACGAAGGGGGCUAGCGUUGCUCGGAAUCACUGGGCGUAAAGCGCACGUAGGCGGCUUUUUAAGUCAGAGGUGAAAUCCUGGAGCUCAACUCCAGAACUGCCUUUGAUACUGAGAAGCUUGAGUCCGGGAGAGGUGAGUGGAACUGCGAGUGUAGAGGUGAAAUUCGUAGAUAUUCGCAAGAACACCAGUGGCGAAGGCGGCUCACUGGCCCGGUACUGACGCUGAGGUGCGAAAGCGUGGGGAGCAAACAGGG
rnacentral:rRNA from 1 species